UCGAGAAUCUUCCGCAAUGGGCGAAAGCCUGACGGAGCGACGCCGCGUGGUUGACGAAGUCCUUCGGGACGUAAAAACCUUUUAUGAGGGAGGAAGUUAUUGACGUUACCUCAUGAAUAAGGGGCUCCUAACUCUGUGCCAGCAGGAGCGGUAAUACAGAGGCCCCAAGCAUUAUCCGGAAUCACUGGGCGUAAAGGGUGUGUAGGCGGUCGUAUUAGUCUUUUGUGAAAGAUCUCGGGCUUAACCCGAGGGACGCAGAGGAAACGGUACGACUUUUGAGGACGCGAGAGGUAGAGGGAACUCAUGGUGUAGGGGUGAAAUCCGUUGAUAUCAUGGGGAACACCAAAUGCGAAGGCACUCUACUGGCGCGCUCCUGACGCUGAAACACGAAAGCGUGGGAAUCGAACGGGAUUAGAUACCCCCGUAGUCC
rnacentral:rRNA from 1 species